GAGACUCUGUGCGCGUGCAUAUCAAUAAGCGGAGGAAAAGAAACUAACAAGGAUUCCCUUAGUAACGGCGAGUGAAGCGGGAAGAGCUCAAAUUUGAAAUCUUCAAGGUUCUACCUUUACGAAUUGUAGUUUAUAGAAGUGUUUUCUGUUAGUGGAGUGGCUAAAAGUUUUUUGGAAUAGGACAUCAUAGAGGGUGAGAAUCCCGUAUUUGAUCGUACUUUCCUAGCUGUUGUGAUACACUUUCAAAGAGUCGGAUUGUUUGGGAAUGCAGUCCAAAAUGGGUGGUAAAUUUCAUCUAAAGCUAAAUAUUGGCGAGAGACCGAUAGCGAACAAGUACCGUGAGGGAAAGAUGAAAAGAACUUUGAAAAGAGAGUUAAACAGUACGUGAAAUUGUCAAAAGGGAAGCGUUUGACACCAGUGUUGUUUUUCCGAAAAUCAUUACGAAUGUUUUGUUUUUGAGGAAGUUAUGACUUCAUCGGCUUGCUCCUUUCUUUACGAAACUUUCUUAAUGCACUUUUCGGUUAACAAGUCAACAUCAAUUUCUUUUGUUGUAAAAGGGUAUGAGGAAGGUGGCUUUCUUUUCGGAGAAAGGUGUUUAUAGCCUUGUGCCUCUGCAAUUGGAGAGAUUGAGGUCUGCAGCGUAGAUCCUUCGGGGUUAGAUACAUUUGUGCUAAGUUAUAGCUUUUCAUAGACAACUUGUUGACUAUGUUUAGUCUUGUAGCUUACUCGCUUACGCUAUUUUACCUACGCUUAGGAUGUUGAACUCUAUCACACACAG
rnacentral:rRNA from 1 species